AUCUACCCCUAUAACCUUGUCUUUAGAUUUGGACUUAACUAACACCCCUUUCAUUUUCCAAACUAAAUUCCCAUCUACACAUUCAUUAACCAAUCAAACAACACAACACAACACAACACAUAUCUUCUUCCUCUUCUUCAUCAUUACACUUCAACACCUACUUUCCCAAAAUCACCAUCUUUCUUGAUCUAUUUUCCAAGACAUGCUUCUUUAUUAACUUCAAACACUCUAUUCCCUCACAUGAAGUUGUUACUAGUUUUAUAAGUUUUACAAGUUUCUUGAUUGGUUAACAUAUGGGUAGGGGUAGGGGGAAAGGGAAGAAGUUGAGUUUAACAUACAACAAUGGUGAUCCUGCAAAUGAAGAAGAUAAACAAAAGGGUAGGCUUGAAAAGCCAUUAAUGAAUGAAGAUGAUGAAGAUAUUGAAAAGAUUGAGGAAAAUGAUGAUGAUAUAGAUGAUGAAAAUGCAAGUUCUAAUGUGAAUGGGAAUAAUAAGAGGAAAAGAGACAAAGUGGGAAAGAAGAAGGGUGAUUUGGUAAAAGAGGAAAGCGCGAGUGGGGCCGGGUCUAAAGGUUUUCGUCAUGUCGGGAGUCGAAGGAAAAACAAACCUCAUCGAGCAGCCGAAGUUGGUGUCGAAUGCACGUGAAAAAAAUGACCAAUUUACCCUUCGUUUGAGGUCUAUCGUCGGUUUUAAGUCAUGUUAUGUUUUCACUUUGAUCUUUAGGAACCGGUUUCUUGCAUCGGUUCUCGUGUAUUAUGUUCGUGGGACCGAUGAAAUAUCCCUAUAUUAUCUUGUUUAGUUUUUGUUUUUCUUUUUGGGUUUUGUUCCAAAUAUCUUGUGAAUUUAUGUAUGAUUUUAGCUAUAGAGUUAAACUUGUUGGGUAUGAAACUUGAUUUGAAGGGACAUUUUGUAAAAUGUUUUGGUCAAAUAAUAAUAACAGUUUUGCUUAAA